rnacentral:rRNA from 1 species
GACGAACGCUGGCGGCGUGCCUAACACAUGCAAGUCGAACGGAACUGUUUUGAAAGAUUUCUUCGGAAUGAAUUUGAUUUAGUUUAGUGGCGGACGGGUGAGUAACGCGUGAGUAACCUGCCUUCAAGAGGGGAAUAACAUUCUGAAAAGAAUGCUAAUACCGCAUGACAUAUCGGAACCACAUGGUUUUGAUAUCAAAGAUUUUAUCGCUUGAAGAUGGACUCGCGUCCGAUUAGUUAGUUGGUGAGGUAACGGCUCACCAAGACCGCGAUCGGUAGCCGGACUGCUAGGAUGAGCGGCCAACUUGGGACUGAGGCACGGCUCAGGAAUCUUCCGCAGGGAGCAGUAGGGGAUCUUGCGCAAUGGGCGCAACCCUGAAGCAGCAACGCAGCGUGAAGGACGAAGGUUUUCGGAUUGUAAACUUCUUUUAUUAAGGACGCAAAAUGACGGUACUUAAUGAAUAAGCUCCGGCUAACUACGUG